rnacentral:rRNA from 1 species
CCUACGGGAGGCAGCAGUGGGGAAUAUUGGGCAAUGGGCGCAAGCCUGACCCAGCAACGCCGCGUGAAGGAAGAAGGCUUUCGGGUUGUAAACUUCUUUUCUCAGGGACGAAGCAAGUGACGGUACCUGAGGAAUAAGCCACGGCUAACUACGUGCCAGCAGCCGCGGUAAUACGUAGGUGGCAAGCGUAUUCGGAAUUACUGGGUGGAAAGGGCGGGUAGGCGGGGACGCAAGUCAGAUGUGAAAACCACGGGACCAAACUGUGGCCUGCAUUUGAAACUGUGGUUCUUGAGUACUGGAGAGGCAGACGGAAUUUCUAGUGGAGCGGGGAAAUGCGUAGAUAAUAGGAGGAAACCCAGGGGCGAAGGCGGUCUGCUGGACAGGAACUGACGCUGAGGCGCGAAAGCGUGGGGAGCAAACAGGAUUAGAUACCCGAGUAGUC